rnacentral:rRNA from 1 species
AAUUCGAUUGAGUUUGAUCAUGGCUCAGGAUGAACGCUAGCGGCAGGCCUAAUACAUGCAAGUCAAGGGGCUCAGCAAUGAGCACCGGCGCACGGGUGCGUAACGCGUACACAACAUGCCCCUGGGUGAGGGAUAGCAUCGGGAAACUGGUGGUAACACCUCAUGGUAUCAGAGGACGGCAUCGCCUUUUGAUUAAAGGUUACGCCCAGGGAUUGGUGUGCGUCUGAUUAGCUAGUUGGCGGGGUAACGGCCCACCAAGGCGACGAUCAGUAGGGGGUGUGAGAGCAUGGCCCCCCACACGGGUACUGAGACACGGACCCGACUCCUACGGGAGGCAGCAGUAAGGAAUAUUGGACAAUGGGCGAAAGCCUGAUCCAGCCAUGCCGCGUGCAGGAUGAAGGCGCUCAGCGUUGUAAACUGCUUUUGGACGGGAACAAAUCACUUCACGUGUGAAGUGUUGAGGGUACUGUCAGAAUAAGCACCGGCUAACUCCGUGCCAGCAGCCGCGGUAAUACGGAGGGUGCAAGCGUUAUCCGGAAUCACUGGGUUUAAAGGGUACGUAGGCGGUCUGAUAAGUCAGUUGUGAAAUCGCUGGGCUUAACUCAUGCAAUUGCGAUUGAUACUGUUAGACUUGAAACAGGUUGAGGUAAGCGGAAUGUGG